AGGGAGAUUCUUGAAAUUUGACUUCACGCUAGUAUCUAAUUUCAAGGCAUACAUAUAGUUGACCCGAAAACUUUUGCAAGUUAGACCCAGAGAGUGCAGCCAUCAAGUGGAUUUUGCAUGCCAAGACCAUGAAGGAUCAAAGUGGCGAAGAUGGAUUAGGUGUCCAAGUGUUUUGAUGGCUGCUAUCUCAAAAAAUGGUGCAUGGAACCCCCU
rnacentral:lncRNA from 1 species